rnacentral:rRNA from 1 species
CUACGGGUGGCAGCAGUGGGAAUAUUGCACAAUGGAGGAAACUCUGAUGCAGCAACGCCGCGUGGAGGAUGACACUUUUCGGAGCGUAAACUCCUUUUAUAUAGGAAGAUAAUGACGGUACUAUAUGAAUAAGCACCGGCUAACUCCGUGCCAGCAGCCGCGGUAAUACGGAGGGUGCAAGCGUUACUCGGAAUCACUGGGCGUAAAGAGCGUGUAGGCGGGUUAAUAAGUCAGAAGUGAAAUCCUAUGGCUCAACCAUAGAACUGCUUUUGAAACUGUUAACCUAGAGUGUGGGAGAGGUAGAUGGAAUUUCUGGUGUAGGGGUAAAAUCCGUAGAGAUCAGAAGGAAUACCGAUUGCGAAGGCGAUCUACUGGAACAUAACUGACGCUGAGACGCGAAAGCGUGGGGAGCAAACGGGAUUAGAUACCCCCGUAGUC